rnacentral:sRNA from 1 species
UUUGCUUUUUUUUCGUAAUUUAUGAGCUUUUCUCCGAGGCAGCACCGAUUUUGUGUAUAAGAAAGCGAAGCUGACAGCCAGAUUAAUGUGUUGAUGCCAGAUUAAUCAGAUUUAAAAGAGUAAUGCACCGAUGUACAUACCACUGAUAAAGAGUAAAGAUGCCCACGAUGUGUGCAUAUUGCGUCUGGAAUCUCGUACAGCUAGAAGUGCUGCCGAUCCGUGAGUCAAACAGUUGGAAUGGCACUACGAUGGGUUGGGCUGGCAGUCAAUAGCCCCAACUGUUAAUUGCAAAAUCAAAUUGAGCUGCCACAAUGUUGCUGUCGGAGAAGAUUACCUCAUCAUCGAAAAGACGAAAAGUGUUGGUGGCGAAAUCAUCAGCGUCUCCCAAAAUGGCAUUGAGCGAAUGUUUCCUGGAAGAACGAAGGGGCCACGCAUCGCGAGUCUGACUCUCCCCCGGCUAAUUACACGCAAACGCAUUUUAAUUUUCAUAAAAAUAAUCAUAACAUGUGCCGCGCACAUAACUCUUGCUCUCAUUUCCUUUGGCACUAGAUAAAAUAAACUGGCUGCGGAACCAUUUGAAGCACGGCAACAAAAUGUUCGAUUGUGAUAAAUGAAUUCCGCGAAUCUGUCGAGGCCAACAGCUACGAAAUUCGCAAUUUCAGGUGUAUAAAUAGAUCGACUACUGCAAGCAAAGCAAACCGAAUAAUAAUGCUUAACAAUCUAAACUGAGAUCAACAAAC